rnacentral:rRNA from 1 species
AGUGAACGCUGGCGGUAGGCCUAACACAUGCAAGUCGAACGGCAGCACAGUAAGAGCUUGCUCUUACGGGUGGCGAGUGGCGGACGGCUGAGGAAUACAUCGGAAUCUACUUUUUCGUGGGGGAUAACGUAGGGAAACUUACGCUAAUACCGCAUACGACCUACGGGUGAAAGCAGGGGAUCUUCGGACCUUGCGCGAUUGAAUGAGCCGAUGUCGGAUUAGCUAGUUGGCGGGGUAAAGGCCCACCAAGGCGACGAUCCGUAGCUGGUCUGAGAGGAUGAUCAGCCACACUGGAACUGAGACACGGUCCAGACUCCUACGGGAGGCAGCAGUGGGGAAUAUUGGACAAUGGGCGCAAGCCUGAUCCAGCCAUACCGCGUGGGUGAAGAAGGCCUUCGGGUUGUAAAGCCCUUUUGUUGGGAAAGAAAAGCAGCAGGUUAAUACCCCGCUGUUCUGACGGUACCCAAAGAAUAAGCACCGGCUAACUUCGUG